GAUGAACGCUAGCUACAGGCUUAACACAUGCAAGUCGAGGGGCAGCAUGAACAUAGCUUGCUAUGUUUGAUGGCGACCGGCGCACGGGUGCGUAACACGUAUCCAAUCUGCCCGUUACUCAUGGAUAGCCUUCCGAAAGGGAGAUUAAUACAUGAUGGUGUUGAAAUUCCGCAUGUUAUUUCAACUAAAGAUUUAUCGGUAACGGAUGGGGAUGCGUGACAUUAGAUAGAUGGCGGGGUAACGGCCCACCAUGGCGACGAUCAGUAGCCGGUCUGAGAGGAUGAACGGCCACAUUGGGACUGAGAUACGGCCCAGACUCCUACGGGAGGCAGCAGUGGGGAAUAUUGGGCAAUGGGGGAAACCCGUGACCCAGCAACGCCGCGUGAAGGAAGAAGGCCU
rnacentral:rRNA from 1 species